ACUCUUCUAGUAUAAACAAUACGGAUGGCCUCCAACCAUCAAAUCUUAAACUACAAACCCUUAAGGAAGAGCA
rnacentral:tRNA from 1 species